rnacentral:lncRNA from 1 species
UGCAGUUUCGCUACGACUAUGUCUUUAAAGAGAACCAAUUAUUUUCUAAAUUUUCAUUCGUCUUAUGGAAUGUUCUAUAUAAGCUCCUCUUGCACGAAUCUGUUCAUUGAUAAAUUUGUGUUGAUUGAGGGUUAUUGCAUUUUGACUGUGUAGCUACCCUACAGUACAUGGUGUUGCAAUAGGAUGUUCAGAUGGCUAUAUGGUAUAGCCAAGUAAGUAUCAAUCACGAAGAAACGGUAAUAGUUCGUGUGGACCGAUCUCAUCCAUCAAUCUGUAAGUCAUCGCGUCAUUGUUAUGGCAUAGGCUAUUGUAGUCGUUUCUGUAGUCAAUAUUUUUCAAGGCAGGGUGAUUAACCCUACGCUCAACCCCCUGUGCCCGGAGGACCGGCAGCUUUUCUGUAGGUGUUUCCAUCCCUUAGACGAUCGUUGUUGCUAUCGAGUUCCAUCUACCCGGAUUUUCUGUCUGGAUUUACUUCCAUAGACCUUUGAUUCAAGAAUCCAAUCACAAGGCAGUGAUACUAUUUGAC